rnacentral:rRNA from 1 species
UACGGAGGAUGCGAGCGUUAUCCGGAUUUAUUGGGUUUAAAGGGUGCGUAGGCGGAUCGUUAAGUCAGUGGUCAAAUUGAGGGGCUCAACCCCUUCCCGCCAUUGAAACUGGCGAUCUUGAGUGGAAGAGAAGUAUGCGGAAUGCGUGGUGUAGCGGUGAAAUGCAUAGAUAUCACGCAGAACCCCGAUUGCGAAGGCAGCAUGCCGGCUUCCGACUGACGCUGAAGCACGAAAGCGCGGGGAUCGAACAGG